rnacentral:misc_RNA from 1 species
UUUCUGUAGGUGAACCUGCGGAAGGAUCAUUAUUGAAUAACCGAGGAGCGAGGUCUUUCGCUGACCCGACAGCUUGUGUACGCCCGAGUGCCAUCACAUACAUCCAUAUCACCCCUAUGUGAACCACCGCGUGGAUCCCCCUUUGGCUUGAUUGGUGGGGGGAUUAAGUUCUAAAAAAAACUUUGUACGAAGUGUAGAAUGUAUUUUUUGUUGUUGAGAAAACGCGCUGAAUACAAGAUUAAACAACGGAACUCCUGGCUCUCGCAUCGAUGAAGAAUG